rnacentral:rRNA from 1 species
UACGUAGGGUGCAAGCGUUGUCCGGAAUUAUUGGGCGUAAAGAGCUCGUAGGCGGUUUGUCGCGUCUGCUGUGAAAACCCGGGGCUUAACUCCGGGCCUGCAGUGGGUACGGGCAGACUAGAGUGCGGUAGGGGAGACUGGAAUUCCUGGUGUAGCGGUGAAGUGCGCAGAUAUCAGGAGGAACACCGGUGGCGAAGGCGGGUCUCUGGGCCGUAACUGACGCUGAGGAGCGAAAGCGUGGGGAGCGAACAGG